rnacentral:rRNA from 1 species
UACGUAGGGGGCAAGCGUUGUCCGGAUUUAUUGGGCGUUAAAGAGCGUGUAGGCGGCUUUACAGGUCCGUUGUGAAAACUCGAGGCUCCAACCUCGAGACGGCCGGUGGAAACCGUAAAGCUAAGAGUCCGGAAGAGGAGAGUGGAAUUCCUGGGUGUAGCGGUGAAAUGCGCAGAUAUCAGGAAGAACACCCGUGGCGAAGGCGGCUCUCUGGGACGGU